rnacentral:tRNA from 1 species
GACUCAGUAGCUCAGUUGGUAGAGCAUCGCCCUUUUAAGGCGGGUGUCCAGGGUUCGAGUCCCUGCUGGGUCACCA